rnacentral:rRNA from 1 species
UGUAGCUCCCGGGUGACGAGCGGCGGACGGGUGAGUAAUUGCUAGGGAAACUGCCUGAUGGAGGGGGAUAACUACUGGAAACGGUAGCUAAUACCGCAUAACGUCGCAAGACCAAAGAGGGGGACCUUCGGGCCUCUUGCCAUCAGAUGUGCCCAGAUGGGAUUAGCUAGUAGUGGGGUAACGGCUCACCUAGGCGACGAUCCCUAGCUGGUCUGAGAGGAUGACCAGCCACACUGGAACUGAGACACGGUCCAGACUCCUACGGGAGGCAGCAGUGGGGAAUAUUGCACAAUGGGCGCAAGCCUGAUGCAGCCAUGCCGCGUGUAUGAAGAAGGCCUUCGGGUUGUAAAGUACUUUCAGCGGGGAGGAAGGUGUUGUGGUUAAUAACCACAGCAAUUGACGUUACCCGCAGAAGAAGCACCGGCUAACUCCGUGCCAGCAGCCGCGGUAAUACGGAGGGUGCAAGCGUUAAUCGGAAUUACUGGGCGUAAAGCGCACGCAGGCGGUCUGUCAAGUCGGGAUGUGAAAUCCCCGGGCUCAACCUGGGGAACUGGAUUCGAAACUGGCAAGGCUUAAAGUCCUUUGGUCACAAAGGGGGGG